rnacentral:rRNA from 1 species
UACGGAGGGUGCGAGCGUUGUUCGGAGUUACUGGGCGUAAAGGGUGUGUAGGCGGUUGUUUAAGUUUGGUGUGAAAUCUCCCGGCUCAACCGGGAGGGUGCGCCGAAUACUGAAUGACUUGGAGUGCGGGAGAGGAAAGUGGAAUUCCUGGUGUAGCGGUGAAAUGCGUAGAUAUCAGGAGGAACACCGGUGGUGUAGACGGCUUUCUGGACCGUAACUGACGCUGAGACACGAAAGCGUGGGUAGCAAACAGG